rnacentral:rRNA from 1 species
CCUACGGGAGGCAGCAGUGAGGAAUAUUGGUCAAUGGGCGGAAGCCUGAACCAGCCAAGUCGCGUGAGGGAAUAAGGCCCUACGGGUCGUAAACCUCUUUUGCCGGGGAGCAAGGGCCGGGACGAGUCCCGGUCCGGAGAGUACCCGGAGAAAAAGCAUCGGCUAACCCCGUCCCAGCAGCCGCGGUAAUACGGAGGAUGCGGGCGUUAGCCGGUUUUAUUGGGUUAAAGGGGUGCGUAGGCGGGCUUUCAAGUCUGCGGGAAAAAUUCGGGGCUAAACCCCGUCGGGCAGUUGAAACUGGGAGCCUUGAGUAGGCGAGAGGCAGGCGGAAUUCGUGGUGUAGCGGUGAAAUGCAUAGAUAUCACGCAGAACCCCGAUUGCGAAGGCAGCCUUCCGGCGCCCUACUGACGCUGAGGCACGAAAGUGCGGGGAUCGAACAGGAUUAGAUACCCGUGUAGUC